rnacentral:rRNA from 1 species
UACGUAGGGUGCAAGCGUUGUCCGGAAUUAUUGGGCGUAAAGAGCUCGUAGGCGGUUUGUCGCGUCUGCUGUGAAAACCCGAGGCUCAACCUCGGGCCUGCAGUGGGUACGGGCAGACUAGAGUGCGGUAGGGGAGAUUGGAAUUCCUGGUGUAGCGGUGGAAUGCGCAGAUAUCAGGAGGAGCACCGAUGGCGAAGGCAGGUCUCUGGGCUGAUACUGACGCUCAUGCACGAAAGCGUGGGGAGCAAACAGG